GACGAACGCUGGCGGCGUGCUUAAUACAUGCAAGUCGAACGGAAAGGCCCUGCUUUUGUGGGGUGCUCGAUUGGCGAACGGGUGAGUAUCACGUGAGUAACCUGCCCUUGACUUUGGGAUAACUUCAGGAAACUGCGGCUAAUACCCGAUAGGAGCUCCUGCUGCAUGGUGGGGGUUGGUAAGUUUCGGCGGUUGGGGAUGGACUCGCGGCUUAUGAGCUUGUUGGUCGGGUAGUGGCUUACCAAGGCUGUGACGGGUAGCCGGCCUGAGAGGGUGACCGGCCACAUUGGGACUGAGAGACGGCGCAGACUCCUACGGGAGGCAGCAGUGGAGAAUAUGGCACAGUGGGCGGAAGCCUGAGGCAGCAACGCCGCGUGCGGGAUGACGGCCUUCGAGUUGUAAACCGCUGUCGCCUGUGACGAAGCGUGAGUGACGGUAAUGGGUAAAGAAGCACCGGCUAACUACGUG
rnacentral:rRNA from 1 species